CCUACGGGUGGCAGCAGUGGGGAAUAUUGGACAAUGGGGGCAACCCUGAUCCAGCCAUGCCGCGUGUGUGAAGAAGGCCCUCGGGUUGUAAAGCACUUUCAGUGAGGAAGAACGCCUGGUGGUUAAUACCCAUCAGGAAAGACAUCACUCACAGAAGAAGCACCGGCUAACUCCGUGCCAGCAGCCGCGGUAAUACGGAGGGUGCGAGCGUUAAUCGGAAUUACUGGGCGUAAAGCGCGCGUAGGUGGCUUGAUAAGCCGGUUGUGAAAGCCCCGGGCUCAACCUGGGAACGGCAUCCGGAACUGUCAAGCUAGAGUGCAGGAGAGGAAGGUAGAAUUCCCGGUGUAGUGGUGAAAUGCGUAGAGAUCGGGAGGAAUACCAGUGGCGAAGGCGGCCUUCUGGACUGACACUGACACUGAGGUGCGAAAGCGUGGGUAGCAAACAGGAUUAGAUACCCUAGUAGUC
rnacentral:rRNA from 1 species